UAAAACGACACUAGGUUAUGUUAUUGUCUACUGCUUUUAGUUUUGUAAACAAUGUAUUAAUAGGGGACGUAAUAUUUUACUAAAUUAAAGUUUGUAAAGGAAGUUCUUUUACAGUGUUUGAUUUUAAGCCAUCUGAAUUACAUAAUCACAACUAAGUGAGGACGCCUACAACAGCCCUCUGGAUACUAACGUCCAGAUAUUCAGAUGUAUGAAGAAAUGCAGAGAAAUACUAACAUCCUGUUAUAUGGAAGUGCCUGCAACUAUUGAAAAAUACCAAUGUCUGGAUUGAAUACUUUGUAAAUUUACCUAGCCACAAGGUUGAGUCAAAGCUGGGGAGAAACAAGAGGCAACUGUCUACUUGCAGACACGUCUGGGCCACCACUCACAGUAUCAAAUUCUAAAUCCAAUCCAGAAUAACUGUUAUCACUUGGUCUGUAACUAAUGCCACCACUAUAUGUCUGAUUCAGAAGCAGAAUCGUAAUGCCUAUCGAUUUUACUAAUGGUUAAGUUAUUUGAAUCAUAUGGAUUGUUAUUAUGAUUCAUUAAAAAAUGCAAUAAAUGAAAUGCAAAACAUUUAUGAGUCCAGGCCAAGUGAUAACAGUGCAACCAGUUGAGAGAUAAUAUCCUGCAUGAAACGCCGUGACAACGCCAAUUGGCGUUUUCAGCAGCGAACGUGUUUAACCAACAAAGUGAAGAAGCAGUUUUAAGUUUACCUUCACAAUUACGAUUAGGAAACCCAAGAAUAGAAGAAUUAAGAUCAUGUUUUAAUGUGUUGAAAAUUUGUUAUGGUCUGGACUAUAUUUAAGUUAAACACAAGUUAUUGGAAGUGGGAUAGUUUUAAAAUUGUACUAAAAUAAUAUUUAACUUAAUUAUUCUUUAAUCCUUAUUUUGGGUAUUAGGUAAGUAAUUAUUUAUCUUAUCUUACAAAACAUUUACACACAUUUGGUCUAAAAUGCCAACCUUGACACUCGAAGAAGUUCUGGAGGUAUGGUGGUUCAGAGUACCUGACUAGUAAUUUAUUUUAUUUUUUAACAAAAUGUAUAUAUUUUGUGCUAUUAGUCUUUUGCCAAUUGUGUAAUGAUUAUAUAAGGACGGUGGUGACAUAGAAAAUAUAUUAAUAUACCUCCAGUACCAGGUCCCCGAUGUGCUUAGAAAGAACUAUGUAAAUUAUAUAUGGUCUGUAUAAUUAUUUUAUAUGGAUAUGUCUGAUUAAUAAUAAACAUUGCAUUUGAUUA